GGACCUCUCGGGGUUACAGCCUUGCUGAAUUAUUCACCCUUGUCUUUUGCGUACUUCUUGUUUCCUUGGUGGGUUCGCCCACCACUAGGACAAACAUAAACCUUUUGUAAUUGCAAUCAGCGUCAGUAACAAAUUAAUAAUUACAACUUUCAACAACGGAUCUCUUGGUUCUGGCAUCGAUGAAGAACGCAGCGAAAUGCGAUAAGUAGUGUGAAUUGCAGAAUUCAGUGAAUCAUCGAAUCUUUGAACGCACAUUGCGCCCUUUGGUAUUCCAAAGGGCAUGCCUGUUCGAGCGUCAUUUGUACCCUCAAGCUUUGCUUGGUGUUGGGCGUCUUGUCUCUAGCUUUGCUGGAGACUCGCCUUAAAGUAAUUGGCAGCCGGCCUACUGGUUUCGGAGCGCAGCACAAGUCGCACUCUCUAUCAGCAAAGGUCUAGCAUCCAUUAAGCCUUUUUUUCAACUUUUGACCUCGGAUCAGGUAGGGAUACCCGCUGAACUUAAGCAUAUCAAUAAGCGGAGGA
rnacentral:rRNA from 1 species